rnacentral:rRNA from 1 species
GUUCCAGACUCCUACGGGAGGCAGCAGUGGGGAAUAUUGGGCAAUGGGGGAAACCCUGACCCAGCGACGCCGCGUGAGGGAAGAAGGUUUUCGGAUUGUAAACCUCUGUCCUUGGUGACGAUAAUGACGGUAGCCAAGGAGGAAGCCACGGCUAACUACGUGCCAGCAGCCGCGGUAAUACGUAGGGGGCAAGCGUUAUCCGGAUUUACUGGGUGUAAAGGGAGCGUAGACGGAAAGGCAAGUCAGAUGUGAAAACUAUGGGCUCAACCCAUAGCCUGCAUUUGAAACUGUAUUUCUUGAGUGCUGGAGAGGCAAUCGGAAUUCCGUGUGUAGCGGUGAAAUGCGUAGAUAUACGGAGGAACACCAGUGGCGAAGGCGGAUUGCUGGACAGUAACUGACGCUGAGGCGCGAAAGCGUGGGGAGCAAACAGGAUUAGAUACCCCAGUACC